AAUUUGCAACGAACGCCAUUUUUUCAUUUUUGAAAAGUCUCUUGACGAGGUAACAACCAUUGUUGUAAAAAAGUUUUACCGAAAUAUCAAACUCGGUCUGGACCAAGUAAAAAAUGCGUUAUAUACAUUUUCUGUCCCUGCUGUGCGGCCUAAGCUGCCUGUGAGUGGGUCUGGCGAACGAACAACAGUGUCUGGCAAUGCAUACAUUUCAGACCACGUACAACGAUGUCCGCAACAAGGCCGAGGAACUUGCGGCUUUGGUACAGAGGCUUAAAGUCCAACUCGACAACACGAUCGAAAGUAAUUGUGGCGAUCUUGGAGCUAAUGCUGCCAGCAACAUGUACUCGUACAAUUUAACGCACUGUGAUUUCGAGGAUGGGGUCCAUAUGUGCAAUUUUACUCAAAACACCGACGACCAAUAUAAUUGGUUGCUAGACAACGCACUCCCUGACCAUACUUUAGGCUCAAAACUGGGACACAGUUUAAAGUCUCAACAUCCUAGUUAUGUAAUGCGUGUUACGUCUAGGCCUUUUAAUCCUGCACAUGCGUAUUGCAUACGAUUUUUCUACAAAGCAGAAAGUAAUCAGAACACUCGCUGAAAUAACUCCCGACCCGGAAUAUCUAAGAAGGCAAUUCCAAAUUGUGUUUGAGGCUGACCAUCUGAAUCAGUACGUGUAUGUUGACGACUUGAGUGUUUAUAACGCACCUUGUAGUACUGAAGGAAUCCGAUUUCUGCGGUGUCCUAACGGGUCUGUGAUAUACAAUGUCAGUGGAACGACCACAUGUUAUGUGUUCCAUGUUGAACCAAAAACCUACUUAGAUGCCAUGAAAGCGUGUAAAGCGAGAUGGCCCCAGGCCAGCCUAAUAGCCAUAGAAACUGCAGCUGAACAAACGUUUAUUUCAAACAUGAUCAAGAACUCAAACGCCAUGAGGCUUGCCGCCGACUUCGGACUGUGGACGAAUGGGAACGACCUUGACCAAGAGAAUUCGUUCACGUGGACUGGUCAGGCUCACCCUGUCCCUCUCAAUUACACCCACUGGCACCCCGGGCAGCCCAACAACGUGGCUGGAAACCAGAACUGUCUAUUGAUCGAGUAUCCGAGGUAUGACUACGAGUGGGGGGACGUGUCGUGCUCCGAGAAACAUGCGUUCAUCUGCGAGAUGACGUUUGACCAGAAGGCUCGUCAGUCUCAUUUUAAUAGUGGAUCGAUAAUAGGAUAGAUGCACAGGACCGUGUGACCGUCAAGAAAAACUGAAAAUGUAACGUCUAGAUGCAUUUUACAACUGUGUAUUCAAUACAUUGGUGUAUCAGUGAGACUUCUUGUUAAUAAAGAACUGAAAAAUUC
rnacentral:misc_RNA from 1 species